rnacentral:rRNA from 1 species
AAGCCUGAUCCAGCCAUCCCGCGUGAAGGACGACGGCCCUAUGGGUUGUAAACUUCUUUUGUACAGGGAUAAACCUACUCUCGUGAGGGUAGCUGAAGGUACUGUACGAAUAAGCACCGGCUAACUCCGUGCCAGCAGCCGCGGUAAUACGGAGGGUGCAAGCGUUAUCCGGAUUUAUUGGGUUUAAAGGGUCCGCAGGCGGGCUAGUAAGUCAGUGGUGAAAGCCUACAGCUUAACUGUAGAACUGCCGUUGAUACUGCUAGUCUUGAGUAUAGUUGAGGUAGCUGGAAUGAGUAGUGUAGCGGUGAAAUGCAUAGAUAUUACUCAGAACACCGAUUGCGAAGGCAGGUUACCAAGUUAUAACUGACGCUGAGGGACGAAAGCGUGGGGAGCGAACAGGAUUAGAUACCCUGGUAGUCCACGCCGUAAACGAUGCUAACUCGUUUUUGGGCUAUAUGGUUCAGAGACUAAGCGAAAGUGAUAAGUUAGCCACCUGGGGAGUACGACCGCAAGGUUGAAACUCAAAGGAAUUGACGGGGGCCCGCACAAGCGGUGGAUCAUGUGGUUUAAUUCGAUGAUACGCGAGGAACCUUACCAAGGCUUAAAUGGGAAUUGAUAGCUGUAGAAAUACGGUUUUCUUCGGACAAUUUUCAAGGUGCUGCAUGGUUGUCGUCAGCUCGUGCCGUGAGGUGUUAGGUUAAGUCCUGCAACGAGCGCAACCCCUGUCACUAGUUGCCAUCAUUAAGUUGGGGACUCUAGUGAGACUGCCUACGCAAGUAGCGAGGAAGGUGGGGAUGACGUCAAAUCAUCACGGCCCUUACGCCUUGGGCCACACACGUGAUACAAUGGCCGGUACAGAGGGCAGCUACACUGCGAAGUGAUGCAAAUCUCGAAAGCCGGUCUCAGUUCGGAUUGGAGUCUGCAACUCGACUCUAUGAAGCUGGAAUCGCUAGUAAUCGCGCAUCAGCCAUGGCGCGGUGAAUACGUUCCCGGGCCUUGUACACACCGCCCGUCAAGCCAUGGAAGCUGGGGGUACCUGAAGUCGGUGACCGUAA